UUGCGGUUAAAAAGCUCGUAGUUGGAUCUCGGCAAGUAGAGGGCGGUAUGCUUCGUAGCAUUACUGCCCUAUUACUUGUAGUUUUGCCAGAGGUUCCUGGGUGCUCUUAAUCGAGUGUCUAGGGAUGCUGGCAGGUUUACUUUGAAAAAAUUAGAGUGCUCAAAGCAGGCUAUUACGCUUGAAUAUUUGUGCAUGGAAUAAUAGAAUAGGAAGUUGUUUCUAUUUUGUUGGUUUUCGGAAAUCGACUUAAUGAUUAAUAGGGACAGUCGGGGGCAUUUGUAUUCAAACGAUAGAGGUGAAAUUCUUGGACCGUUUGAAGACAAACUACUGCGAAAGCAUUUGCCAAGAAUGUUUUCAUUAAUCAAGAACGAAAGUUAGAGGUUCGAAGGCGAUUAGAUACCGCCCUAGUUCUAACCAUAAACGAUGCCAGCUAGCGAUCUGAGGACGUUUUUUUUGUAGACUCCUCGGGAAGCUUCCGGGAGACCAAAGCGUGUGGGUUCCGGGGGAAGUAUGGUUGCAAAGCUGAAACUUAAAGGAAUUGACGGAAGGGCACCACCAGGAGUGGAGCCUGCGGCUUAAUUUGACUCAACACGGGAAAUCUCACCAGGCCCGGACACUGGAAGGAUUGACAGAUUGAGAGCUCUUUCUCGAUUCGGUGGGGUGGUGGUGCA
rnacentral:rRNA from 1 species